UUUUGUAACAAAGCUUGCAUAUUUUAAUAUUCAAAAGUUCUUUAAAGAAGUGUAAAACAUGGGAUUAACAGAACGUUGCAUAAUUUGGUUGAUGCUGUCAAUAGUCAAAUCAGUCAACACGAAGACAAUUGUCACAUGGAAUGUUGAGCCAAACAUAAUACAUAUUGGUAAAAACAUGAGCCUUGUUUGCACCGUCUAUGGUGUAGAAAACCUCAACAGAAGCUUGACAAGACAGUGGUCUAAAGGACACGAACUUAUUUGCUAUAAUGGUCAUCCUAGAGAUCCUUUGAAAUAUGCAGAAAUACUAUUAAAUGGAAAUCAGUUUAAGCUGCAGAUAAACAACGUGACAGAUUCAGAUUUAAAUUGCAAAUACCAAUGUCGAUACAGUUUCAAAACGGAAACAAAGAAAUUAGGAAUCACUUCAGAUAAUUUUGAAUAUCCCCCAGAGACGGACACAAAGGCAAUGGUUUACACAAACAAAUCUGAAGGAAAUCUGACAAUCGAUCUUACAUUUGAUAAAAUAUUUCCUUUGCCAAAUUGUACUGCUUUCAUUGAGGAUUCUAGUUUUCGAUUUGAUGCAGUAGCAACUACCAGAAAUGGCAACUACUAUGCUGUUAGUUUGCGCCACCAAUCAUCAUACGAUCUAAUAUGCAGUCAACAAGUAAUAGUAGUAUGUCAGUGUAUUAAAGAGUAUAUCAUACCUACAGAAAAGGUUGAAAUUUGCAAACUGGAAGUUCCUGUGUAACAGAUUACUAUAUCUGUCAUGAAGCCAAUCGACAGAUGUUUACUCAUAAUAAACGAAAACAGAAGAUCAAGAAAUAGUGCGGUACUUGCAGCAUAUAUUGUAACCAUUAUAACUGUUACAGCAGUUGUAUCAGUUUUGAUAUACAUGUAUUCAAAACGAAAGAAAAGGAAAGAAAAAUAUGAAAGUGAAUAUAAAAGCAACAUUACUUCUGAGGAGAGAAAAACCAUGAUUUGAGUUUAGAAAGGUGAUAUUUUAAAGGCCGACGACAUUGACGAUGGCUUUAGAGAGGAAGCAACCCCUUUUUCGAAUAAAUAUAGAAUGCAAACGAUGUUAGAAGGACAGUCACACUCCGAUUCCAAAAGUAUUACAUGUACCUGUGUGUUCGAGUAUUGAGCAAUAUUCCUUUAUACUAGAUGUCUGAUGGAUAAAAAAUAUUCUGUGAUAAAUUCAAAUAUAGGUUUACCGUGUAUAUUUAGAAGAAAGUAGCCUAUAUAUUGAAAAAAGUACUCUUCUCCAACGAAACCGACCUAGUGUCAUCGAGAAAAGAUUACUGUAAUAUUUUCUCAAUUAUAUUUAGUGCUAUAUGUAAUGCUAUAACAUUGUAGAAUAUAUGAUAUGUAUGUGGACAUCUUUAUUUCAUGUGUGAUUAGAUGUUCAAGAUUAAUACAAAUUUUGAGUCAUAGUAAGGAUAUUGAACUUUCAAUUUGUUACACGUAAUCAUCUAAUUACUAAAAACAAUUUAAUAGCAUUCAUCUUGAACAACUUUUCUAUUAGCUACUAGGCAAACAUUACCGUCGCUUAGAUUCUCCAUAUUUUGAAGUAAAUA